rfam:Schistosoma haematobium scaffold151_11, whole genome shotgun sequence.
AUCCAGGUGACGAGUCCCAAAUAGGACGAUAUGCACUUUCUGGAU